AGGUUGGCUCAGAAGCAGCCAUCCUUUAAAGAGUGCGUAACAGCUCACUAGUCGAAUGACUCUGCGCCGAUAAUUUACCGGGGCUAAGCAUACUACCGAAGCUAUGGAUCCUACGGGAUGGUAGGGGAGCGUUCCAUGAACGGAGAAGUACGACCGGAAGGACGUGUGGAGAUCAUGGAAGAGAGAAUGCCGGUGUGAGUAGCGGAACGUGGGUGAGAAUCCCACGCACCGAAAACCCAAGGAUUCCAGAGGAAGGUUCGUCCGCUCUGGGUAAGUCGGGACCUAAGGCGAGGCCGAAAGGCGUAGUCGAUGGACAACAGGUAGAGAUUCCUGUACUUGUAUAUAUGUGAAGGAAUGACGGAGAGAGAAAGCUGAAGCCAGCGGCUGGAAGAGCUGGUGCAAGCGAGAUAGCGGGAUGGCAGGCAAAUCCGCCAUCCACAACGCGAAGACGUGAUGCGAACGGAAAGCUACGGCGAGUACGGAAGUCAGUGGACGAGCUUCCAAGAAAAGUUUCUAACAUAAGUAUAUGCAACCCGUACCGAAAAUGGACACACAUGGGUGAGGAGAGAAUCCUAAGGUGAGCGAGAGAACUAUAGCUAAGGAACUCUGCAAAAUGACUCCGUAACUUAGGGAGAAGGAGUGCUCAUAGAGAUAUGAGCCGCAGUGAAACGGCCCAAGCGACUGUUUACCAAAAACACAGCUCUCUGCUAAGCCGCAAGGCGAAGUAUAGGGGGUGACGCCUGCCCGGUGCUGGAAGGUUAAGGGGAGGGGUUAACGCAAGUGAAGCCCUGAACUGAAGCCCCAGUAAACGGCGGCCGUAACUAUAACGGUCCUAAGGUAGCGAAAUUCCUUGUCAGGUAAGUUCUGACCCGCACGAAAGGCGUAACGAUUUGGGCGCUGUCUCAGCUGUAGACUCGGUGAAGUCUUAGUACCUGUGAAGAUGCAGGUUACCCGCGACUAGACGGAAAGACCCCAUGGAGCUUCACUGCAGGUUGAUAUUGGGAUUUGAUGCAGCAUGUACAGGAUAGGUAGGAGGCAAUGAGAUGGAUACGCCAGUAUUCAAGGAGCCGCUGUUGGGAUACUACCCCUGUUGUAUUGGAUUUCUAACCGGACGACGUAAGCCGUUGACGGGACAGUGUCAGUCGGGCAGUUUGACUGGGGCGGUCGCCUCCCAAAGAGUAACGGAGGCGCCCAAAGAUACCCUCAGCUUGGAUGGAAACCAAGCGCAGAGUGCAAAGGCAAAAGGGUGUUUGACUGCGAGACCCACAAGUCGAGCAGGGACGAAAGUCGGGCUUAGUGAUCCGGCGGUGCUGAAUGGAAAGGCCGUCGCUCAACGGAUAAAAGCUACCCUGGGGAUAACAGGCUGAUCUCCCCCAAGAGUUCACAUCGACGGGGAGGUUUGGCACCUCGAUGUCGGCUCAUCGCAUCCUGGAGCUGAAGUCGGUUCCAAGGGUUGGGCUGUUCGCCCAUUAAAGCGGUACGCGAGCUGGGUUCAGAACGU
rnacentral:rRNA from 1 species